rnacentral:rRNA from 1 species
AGCAGCCGCCGCGGGAAUACGUAGGUCCCGAGCGUUGUCCGGAUUUAUUGGGCGUAAAGGGAGCGCAGGCGGUUUAGUAAGUCUGAAGUUAAAGGCAUUGGCUCAACCAAUGUAUGCUUUGGAAACUGUUUGACUUGAGUGCAGAAGGGGAGAGUGGAAUUCCAUGUGUAGCGGUGAAAUGCGUAGAUAUAUGGAGGAACACCGGUGGCGAAAGCGGCUCUCUGGUCUGUCACUGACGCUGAGGCUCGAAAGCGUGGGUAGCAAACAGGAUUAGAUACCCCGGUAGUCCCUGUCUCUUAUACC